UACGUAGGGGGCGAGCGUUGUCCGGAGUUACUGGGCGUAAAGGGCAUGCAGGCGGUCCGACACGUUUUGUGUGACAGCGGGUGGCUUAACUACCCGAGGAUACGAAAGACGGUUGGACUUGAGGACUCGAGAGGGACACGGAAUUCCGGGUGGAGUGGUGAAAUGCGUAGAGAUCCGGAGGAACACCGAAGGCGAAGGCAGUGUCCUGGCGCGUAACUGACGCUGAGGUGCGAAAGCCAGGGGAGCGAACGGG
rnacentral:rRNA from 1 species